GCCCACGUAGCUCAGUUGGCAGAGCAGGGCUUUCGUAAAGCUCAGGUCGCCCGUUCGAACCGGGCCGUGGGCU
rnacentral:tRNA from 1 species